rnacentral:rRNA from 1 species
GACGAACGCUGGCGGCGUGCCUAAUACAUGCAAGUAGAACGCUGAAGGAGGAGCUUGCUUCUCUGGAUGAGUUGCGAACGGGUGAGUAACGCGUAGGUAACCUGCCUGGUAGCGGGGGAUAACUAUUGGAAACGAUAGCUAAUACCGCAUAAUAGCAGUUGUUGCAUGACAACUGUUUGAACGGUGCAAUUGCACCACUACCAGAUGGACCUGCGUUGUAUUAGCUAGUUGGUGGGGUAACGGCCCACCAAGGCGACGAUACAUAGCCGACCUGAGAGGGGGAUCGACCACACUUGGACUGAGACACGGCCCAGACUCCUUCGGGAGGCAGCAGUAGGGAAUCUUCGGCAAUGGACGGAAGUCUGACCGAGCAACGCCGCGUGAGUGAAGAAGGUUUUCGGAUCGUAAAGCUCUGUUGUAAGAGAAGAACGAGUGUGAGAGUGGAAAGUUCACACUGUGACGGUAUCUUACCAGAAAGGGACGGCUAACUACGUG